rnacentral:rRNA from 1 species
AUUGAACGCUGGCGGCAGGCCUAACACAUGCAAGUCGAACGAGUGGCGGACGGGUGAGUAAUGUCUGGGAAACUGCCUGAUGGAGGGGGAUAACUACUGGAAAGGGUAGCUAAUACCGCAUAACAUAAGAUGUGCCCAGAUGGGAUUGGCAUGUUGGUGGGGGAAAGGCUCACCAGGGCGACGAACCCUAGCUGGGCUGAGAGGAUGACCAGCAACACGGGAACUGAGAUACGGUCCAGAAUCCUACGGGAGGCAGCAGUGGGGAAUAUUGCACAAUGGGCGCAAGCCUGAUGCAGCGAUGCCGCGUGUAUGAAGAAGGCCUUCGGGUUGUAAAGUACUUUCAGCGGGGAGGCGUUACCCGCAGAAGAAGCACCGGCUAACUCCGUGCCAGCAGCCGCGGUAAUAC